UUGCUAGUAGCCAGGGUUUAAGCAUGGGGGACUUCUCAGAGGUGACAAAGCUGUACUGCAUCUUUACUGCCGUGAUGGUGAACAGAGCUCUCAAUAUGUGUCAGAAUCCGUGAAACUCCACACUCCCUGAAAGAGAGAAUUUCACAAUUUGUAAAUGACACAAGGCAAUGCAUUGAUGAUGCUUGUCCAGCAAAUCUUGUGUCUAAAAGCAAGAAUUAAAGUGCAUUGAAUGCC